rnacentral:rRNA from 1 species
GACGAACCGUGCAAACGUUGUUCGGAAUCACUGGGCGUAAAGGGCGCGUAGGCGGUCAGCACAAGUCAGUUGUGAAAUCUCCGGGCUUAACUCGGAAAGGUCAACUGAUACUGUGCGACUAGAGUGCAGAAGGGGCAACUGGAAUUCUCGGUGUAGCGGUGAAAUGCGUAGAUAUCGAGAGGAACACCUGCGGCGAAGGCGGGUUGCUGGGCUGACACUGACGCUGAUGCGCGAAAGCCAGGGGAGCGAACGGG